CCUACGGGCGGCUGCAGUGGGGAAUAUUGGACAAUGGGGGCAACCCUGAUCCAGCCAUGCCGCGUGUGUGAAGAAGGCCCUCGGGUUGUAAAGCACUUUCAGUGAGGAAGAACGCCUGGUGGUUAAUACCCAUCAGGAAAGACAUCACUCACAGAAGAAGCACCGGCUAACUCCGUGCCAGCAGCCGCGGUAAUACGGAGGGUGCGAGCGUUAAUCGGAAUUACUGGGCGUAAAGCGCGCGUAGGUGGCUUGAUAAGCCGGUUGUGAAAGCCCCGGGCUCAACCUGGGAACGGCAUCCGGAACUGUCAAGCUAGAGUGCAGGAGAGGAAGGUAGAAUUCCCGGUGUAGCGGUGAAAUGCGUAGAGAGCGGGAGGAAUACCAGUGGCGAAGGCGGCCUUCUGGACUGACACUGACACUGAGGUGCGAAAGCGUGGGUAGCAAACAGGAUUAGAUACCCGAGUAGUC
rnacentral:rRNA from 1 species